AGGGAAUGCCCGCGCCAGGCCCGCCCCUCUCCUCCCUAGCCCGCCUCCACUAGGCCCCGCCCCUCGCCAAGUCACUUAAGAAGUACGCGAAGGACUACACGCCCUGAAGGGGAGGGGGCACUCCUGGACCACGCCUGUCCCAGUCACGGGACCCCCCGCUCCGCAGCUGGGGACCCUAUGAAGUUGGCCCUGGGAGGCUGGAGUGCAGUGGCAUGAUCUCGGCUCACUGCAACCUCAGCCUCCCAGGUUCAAGAGAUUCUCCUACCUCAGCCUCCUGAGCAGCUGGGAUUACAGGCAUUCAGUGAUAGUUCUACAGAUGGGAGACACGGAUACCUAAACCGCUAGAGCUCGGGGAGGUUGCAGACAACGUGUUGCCUACGCCUCGACUCAUCUGAGAGUCACCUGUGCAAGACAGAGAGCUUCCUCCCAGUAGAGACUAAUAAAGCUUUUAAUAUUUAAAA